UUGCAUGACCCUCAGAACAUAACAGUUCCUUGCUAUACACUUUUAAACAAACAAAAACCACUUAUCAAACAAACUGUUGAUAAUUCAAAUACAAGUGUACAUGCUCAAGAAAAUAGUUGUUGGUGGAAUGAAUUAAUGAAUAACUGGAACUUUCUUUCACAGCCUCCUCCUCCACUAGAGAUUCUGCCCUUACUUAUAUUAACUCAAAGGCUAACAUCACUAAAAUGGACAUUACAGUGUGGGGGGUUUGUAAAGAUUCUAAUUUUGAAGUAAAACAUGGAAAAGAGUUUGUAAUAAUAAUAAUAAUAAUAAUAAUAAUAGUCAAUAUUUAUCAAGGGCCCACCAUGUGCCUGAAGCUCUGAAUCUCUUAUGAGCUCUCUUCAUCUCUAUAAAUAACCCUGUGAGACAGGUGCUAUCAGUCCCAUUUCACAAAUGAGGAAGCAAAGACUUAAAAAGAUUAAGUAACUUGUCCAAGAUCACACAGAUAAUAAUAAACAACACAGCUGGUAUUCUGACCCGGGUCUCUCCAUUGUGAAAGCCCAUUUUAUUAACCAGCAUGCUUUACUGUAUGUGAGAAGCAGGAUGGAUUUGGAGGAGGUUGGGAUGAUGUUAGAGACUUAGAAAUUGCUUCCUGAAUUGCAGUCAGUGAAUAACUGGUUUUGGAUAAGAAAUGGCUAGAUUUGGGGAUUCUAGAAUCCCUCUUCACUCUGCUUAACCUAAGAGACACCAGAGACAAGCUGAAAAAAGAGGCAGGGACCAAAAUGUGGUUCAUGAAAAAUAAAAAAAUACGGAACCCCUAGAGAAAGGAAAGCUGUGGGAGACAAGAGGCCAGGGAAAAGUGAUCUGAGGUCAUGUUCUGUUGCAUCACCAUGAAUUUUUGGCAAGAUUUAUUGCUCUGGUAAUUGUCUCACUUAAUGGCAAAGUUCAUACUUUAGUCACAGCAAGAUCACAUUAAAAUACAACUAUUACAUAAAUAUAUUUUUAAAAACCUUGGGCCAGAUCCAAGAUAAAUACAUAAUUCAAAAUACAUAAUUAAUAAUAAUUCAAAUACAUCAUUUGUAACAAAAUCCCCAAAAUAUGUUGACCCAUAUUACUUUUAUACACACAGCUAAUUUUCUUUUGGCCAAGAAGCCUAUCUUGACAAUUGAUGAGAGAUCAAAAAAGGGCAUGGUGUUAAAGAGGACCCAGGCUGGAGAGAAGCAAGUUACGAAGAGAAGACCGGAGAGUUGCUUCACAGUUGGAGGUAGCACUUAGAAGAGGUUGAGGUUAGGACCCACAUCAAGGACAGGUCAGAAGAAACACAUCUGAACCAUGGAGAGGAGGAAGAGAGAAAUGCCCUUCAACUGUGUUUCCUUUUCUUCCAGAGGCCAGUUCCCUCACCUGUUGGCACACGGCACCAAGGUGCUCAGGGGCCCUCUUUACCUUGAAGAAGGUGGACUCAAUCCCUGUUCUACAGCGUGGCCUCCCAUGUGACUGAGAAGUGAGGAGGGCUGCUCUCAACCUCAUCGUGGAGUCGGUUGACCUCACCCCAACAGCCAGGCUCCAGGACUCUCACCACACAUGAAAAAUAAAACCCUGCUUUUAAAGCCAUUGUCGUGGUUCCUGUAACAAGCAGGCAGAAGCCCUUCUUGCUUAUACAGGGGUUUAUAAUUCAUAGGAAGUCUUAGGAGUGUUUGAUGAGAUCGCAAGAAGACAUGAACAGGAACCCACCCAGAAAGUGAGGCUGGGAAGUUCUAUUACGUCCUCAUCUCAAGCUAUGAAACCACUGAGAGCUUGAGCAAACCAGAAUCACCUCUUCAGCAGAUCCUGGUCAACGCGCUCCCCAGCAUCAUUACAAGGCAUGGGCCAACCAUAAUCCGGGUUGGUUUUGGCCUGACGUGCUGUGUCCCGAGAUGGCAAGGACGGGGCAAGGCUUUGCAGGUUCCUCUGCAUUUCCUAGGGUAUCGUUCUCUUAAAAGAACCAACGAAGUGAUAGACUGCUCUCGUUAACGCCAUGACAGCGGGGACUGUGCCUGAGGCAUUCACCACUGGACCCCCGACAUCCGGCCCUAAGACAGGCACAGAGGAGACACUCACUAAACAUCAUUCGAAUUGGAUGGAAUUGAAUUACGUUAGCGUCGCCAGUAGAUGUCGGGACCAGGAUUUGACUCACAUAGUCUAGUUCCAUGGUUUCUGCUAUAAAACACUCUGAUGAACUGCCUCCUAACAUGACAUAGGAUUAAAAAGGACAAUGCAUUGCUGAGGCCUGGAAUCUCCUCCCUGAUUCCUCCCUGCCACCCCAGUGCCCACAUUUCCUUCAAAGUUUAAGACCUGCUUCCUACGUGAAGCCUUCCCAGAUAAAUCCAGUCUCCUUCAUCUCCGAAUGCCUUUCGUGCGUAUUGGGUACUAUGCAUCAUAUGUUCGAGAAACUGUCUUGUAUCAAUUUCUAAAUGCCUUAUAAUGUUAAUCCUUCUUGCUGAGCCAGCUGGUCACAGUCUCACAGAAAUAAUCCCAUCGGAGACUGCUUUUCUGUCUCUCACAGUAUCAGCACGUGAAGUACAGAGUACAUGCUCUAUAAAGAUUAAUUGACCUUCGAUUUGAAAUGGAUGAAAGGGAUGCCUACAAAG